rnacentral:rRNA from 1 species
UACGUAGGGGGGCUAGCGUUGUCCGGAAUCAUUGGGCGUAAAGCGCGUGUAGGCGGUCCGGUAAGUCCGCUGUGAAAGUCGGGGGGCUCAACCCUCGAAUGCCGGUGGAUACUGUCGGGCUAGAGUGCGGAAGAGGCGAGUGGAAUUCCCGGUGUAGCAGUGAAAUGCGUAGAGAUGGGGGAGAACACUCGUGGCGAAGGCGGCCAGCUAGACCAGUUCUGACACUGAGGCGCGACAGCGUGGGGAGCAAACAGG